CAGAACUAACACUAGAAGAAACCUAAGAAACAGAGAGUGUUACAGGUGGCUAUGGUAAAAGCAUUGGCCAUGUAAUCAUUGGAUUAAAAACUGUCAAAGGAACCAAGCAACUUAAGUUGGAUCCCACUGCUUAUGACGCAUUGGUUAAGGAAAAGGUUGCUGUUGGUGAUAUUAUAUACAUUGAAGCAAACAGUGGGGCAGUAAAAAGGGUAGGCAGAGUUGAUGCAUUUACUGCAGAAUUCGAUCUUGAAGCAGAAGAGUAUGUUCCACUUCCAAAAGGAGAGGUUCACAAAGAGGAGAUUGUGCAGGAUGUAACUCUGCACGAUCUCAAGCGGGGCUAGACAUAUUAUCUCUAAUGGGUCCAAUGAUGAAGCCAAGAAAAACAGAAACUAUGGGCAAAUUGCGACAAGAAAUAAACAAGGUUAUGCAGGAACAAGAUACUGGUGUUGCUCUGCAUUUGAAGAGGCUUGUAAAAGAAACUUUUUUCCUUGAACUUUUCAAGAACCUUUGGCAGGAAGGAAUCCAUCCCAUUCCUUGAAUGUAGAUAGACUAGCAUUUUUCCGGGCGUUUAAAGACUGCUUUCCUUGGGCAUUGCAUAAUGUUUCAAGGUAUUGCAAUAGAGUGGAUUCCAUCAGUGAUUUUCGAGCAACUAUUGUUAAAAAUGUUCUGGUAAAGCUUUUGUGGCAAGAGUCCAUUUUCUCUAGUAGCUCACAAAAUAAGGAGCAAACAUCCCUGGGAUUAUCAGCAGAUUCAUGUGAAAUUGGUUUAGCUUCCGACAAGAAGACAGUUGAAACAUUGAAAAUUACGUACCCAAUGAGCUACUUUAGAGAGUUGGUAAACUGCAUUGUUGAGGUUCUUUCAGGCAUUUAUUUGCUGGAGCAUGAUUUGCUCUUAGCUUUCUCUGCAGAAUUUCAGGAGAAUUGUCAGAAUUUCUUUCAGCAUGCUAGUAACAUGGAAAGAGAAAGUGAGUAUGCCGAAUUAGUUAUUCAGUUUAUAUUGUUACUUGGAGAACAAGCAAUGCAGAAUGGUGAAAGUUGGCCUUUGGCUUCUGGAGUUGGACCAAUGGUGGAAGAUACAUUCCUGCAUGUGUUCAAAGCAAGUUUUGUUCGAUGGUGUCUCAGUGGGAGUAGUUGCUCCAUAAAUGCUUGUCUUGACCUGUUACUUGCAUUGCUUGACGAUGAAUAUUUCUCCGAGCAGCGAGAUAGUGUUAUCAGAUAUGAUACUAACCUGGAGCGUUCUGGAUGUGCAUCCUGUUUUUUAGAUUCUGACCGGAUAUUAUAUUCCAUCACAUUGACAUCUUUGAGCUGCUUAUGUAAGCUCGAAGUUCUGGACUGUCACUCUCAGGAUCCCUAUGAGAAACAAAAUCUGCUAGACCAACUUCUUUGUGAAGGUGAUGGAUGGCCUUUGCUAGUUCUGGAUUUCAGCAGGCCAGAGGGAUAAGUUGCCAGGGACAUCUCUGCUGACCAUGGGUCUUUUGGCUUGAGAUAUUUGUACACCCAACUGAAAGAUUUCACAAUUGGAUGCUUGAAUUCAUUAGACAGUGCCAAAAAAUUGUCCGAGUUGGAUCAAGAAGACAAGUUUCUCAACGUACUAUAUCCAAGUGGAAAGGAGUUAUGGAGACCACCUUCAAGAAGAAAUCGAUGAAUUCCGUGAUGAGUGGGCAGAAUUCGUUAGUGAUACGACUUGAGACUUCAGUUCUAUGCUUUAACCAUGUACCUAUAGUGAAGCUUCUUUAAUUUGUAGCAAAACUGCCUUUUCCAUUAUAUGACGGCUAGUAUAUUUUAGUUUCUUUUACUAUUGCAAAGUUUACUCAAGAAAUUUCAAUUGCAAAAGCAUUGGAAAUGUGAUUACUUGAAGUAAUUCUCUAUUAAUAUAUUGCAA